rnacentral:rRNA from 1 species
AACCAGCCAAGUCGCGUGAAGGAAGAAGGAUCUAUGGUUUGUAAACUUCUUUUAUAGGGGAAUAAAGUGGAGGACGUGUCCUUUUUUGUAUGUACCCUAUGAAUAAGCAUCGGCUAACUCCGUGCCAGCAGCCGCGGUAAUACGGAGGAUGCGAGCGUUAUCCGGAUUUAUUGGGUUUAAAGGGUGCGUAGGUGGUGAUUUAAGUCAGCGGUGAAAGUUUGUGGCUCAACCAUAAAAUUGCCGUUGAAACUGGGUUACUUGAGUGUGUUUGAGGUAGGCGGAAUGCGUGGU